UACGUAGGGGGCAAGCGUUGUCCGGAUUUACUGGGUGUAAAGGGCGCGCAGGUGGAUUUUCAAGUCAGAGGUGAAAUCUCACGGCUUAACCGUGAAAUUGCCUUUGAUACUGUUAAUCUUGAGUUCGGAAGAGAGAGAUGGAAUUCCAGGUGUAGUGGUGAAAUACGUAGAUAUCUGGAAGAACACCAGUUGCGAAGGCGAUCUCUUGGUCCGAUACUGACACUCAGGCGCGAAAGCGUGGGUAGCAAAC
rnacentral:rRNA from 1 species